rnacentral:lncRNA from 1 species
GUUAUGUCCAUUUUUCAUUUCCUAUGAGAAUGUCAGAGCUUGGAACAAUAAUGGAGUCUGGAAUUGCUCUUCAUAAAAGUGUGUUGAAAUUAUCAGCAGAAUGGAAGGGAAAUGCGGCAGGUCUGCCAUGGAAGAAGGAAGAAAGAACUCAGCCACUUCAUCCAGAACUAUAGCAAGGCAGUAUCAUCAGUGAUGCCUAGAAGUGGAUUCACAGUGGCGCUUCAAUCACCCAGACACCCUCAAAGAACCGUUAAGGUUUUCUUUGAGAAUAUGCUUUGGCAACCCUCACACUCCUGAACAGUUCAUUGUUUGAAAAUGCUUGACAAGGAGCAGACUGCAAUUAAUUACUUCAAUCCUCCACUUUUGUGUGGGGGAAAUCAAGCUGGU